GUCAUUUUGGGGCGCUUAGGGGUGGGUGCCGGGGGGCGCGCUUUCCCUCGUGAAGGUCGCUCCAGGAGUCAUGCGUACAUUCGUUCAUUUUGCUCUGGACGCACUGAUGUUCCCGGCUCGCCGCCGUGCCGCAGUCACGAGGCUCUCCGAACGCCUUUCACUGUGUUUCUGUUUACAUUCGCGUCUGCAAGACCCGGCGGCGCGACCGAGGCCCGAACAGCAUUAUUCACAAGAGCC
rnacentral:lncRNA from 10 species